rnacentral:rRNA from 1 species
GACGAACGCUGGCGGCGUGCUUAACACAUGCAAGUCGAACGGAAAGGCCCUGCUUUUGUGGGGUGCUCGAGUGGCGAACGGGUGAGUAACACGUGAGUAACCUGCCCUUGACUUUGGGAUAACUUCAGGAAACUGGGGCUAAUACCGGAUAGGAGCUCCUGCUGCAUGGUGGGGGUUGGAAAGUUUCGGCGGUUGGGGAAGGACUCGCGGCUUAUCAGCUUGUUGGUGGGGUAGUGGCUUACCAAGGCUUUGACGGGUAGCCGGCCUGAGAGGGUGACCGGCCACAUUGGGGCUGAGAUACGGCCCAGACUCCUACGGGAGGCAGCAGUGGGGAAUAUUGCACAAUGGGCGGAAGCCUGAUGCAGCAACGCCGCGUGCGGGAUGACGGCCUUCGGGUUGUAAACCGCUUUCGCCUGUGACGAAGCGUGAGUGACGGUAAUGGGUAAAGAAGCACCGGCUAACUACGUG